AGCUUUGCACAGUAGCAGUAUCAUAGCCAAUGAGGUUUAUCUGAGGUGUGAUUACUGCUCAUUGAAAGCAGUUAAGUGUCAUUUUUCAGAAAUAAAAACCAACAGAAAAGUAAGUAUAAGAUAAUGUUUCAAGCAU